rnacentral:rRNA from 1 species
GACGAACGCUGGCGGCGUGCCUAAUACAUGCAAGUGGGACGCAAGGAAACACACUGUGCUUGCACACCGUGUUUUCUUGAGUCGCGAACGGGUGAGUAACGCGUAGGUAACCUGCCUAUUAGCGGGGGAUAACUAUUGGAAACGAUAGCUAAUACCGCAUAAUAUUAAUUAUUGCAUGAUAAUUGAUUGAAAGAUGCAAGCGCAUCACUAGUAGAUGGACCUGCGUUGUAUUAGCUAGUUGGUAAGGUAAGAGCUUACCAAGGCGACGACACAUAGCCGACCUGAGAGGGUGAUCGGCCACACUGGGACUGAGACACGGCCCAGACUCCUACGGGAGGCAGCAGUAGGGAAUCUUCGGCAAUAGACGAAAGUCUGACCGAGCAACGCCGCGUGAGUGAAGAAGGGUUUCGGAUCGUAAAGCUCUGUUGUAAGUCAAGAACGUGUGUGAGAGUGGAAAGUUCACACAGUGACGGUAGCUUACCAGAAAGGGACGGCUAACUACGUG